rnacentral:rRNA from 1 species
CUACGGGUCGCUGCAGUGGGGAAUAUUGGGCAAUGGGCGCAAGCCUGACCCAGCAACGCCGCGUGAGGGAAGAAGGUUUUCGGAUUGUAAACCUCUGUCCUUGGGGACGAAGAAGUGACGGUACCCAAGGAGGAAGCUCCGGCUAACUACGUGCCAGCAGCCGCGGUAAUACGUAGGGAGCAAGCGUUGUCCGGAAUUACUGGGCGUAAAGGGUGCGUAGGCGGCAUAUUAAGUCAGGUGUGAAAUACUCGGGCUCAACCCGGGGGCUGCAUUUGCAACUGAUAUGUUGAGUGUGAGAGAGGAAAGUGGAAUUACUAGCGUAGCGGUGGAAUGCGUAGAUAUUAGGAGGAACACCAGUGGCGAAGGCGACUUUCUGGCUCAUAACUGACGCUGAGGCACGAAAGCGUGGGGAGCAAACAGGAUUAGAUACCCCCGUAGUC